rnacentral:lncRNA from 14 species
UCUGCAAGCCUGUCCACAUGCCCUGUUGAGCCUUUCCACUAAGCCCUGCCAAGCUAUCAGCUGGAUCUUGACUUCGACUACUGGUCGUUAUCAAAUGAAUAGGAUCAGAGGAGGUGGCAGUGACACUCCCCAGGCCACCAGUACUGGGACACAUCCAGAGCAAACUCGGUGAGUGGAGCUUGACUGCGCGAGUA